UACAGAGGUCCCGAGCGUUGUUCGGAUUCAUUGGGCGUAAAGGGUGCGUAGGUGGCGCCGUAAGUGGGGUGUGAAAUCCCGGGGCUUAACCCCGGGACUGCAUUCCAUACUGCGGUGCUUGAGGACUGGAGAGGAGACUGGAAUUCAUGGUGUAGCAGUGAAAUGCGUAGAGAUCAUGAGGAAGACCAGUGGCGAAGGCGGGUCUCUGGACAGUUCCUGACACUGAGGCACGAAGGCCAGGGGAGCAAACGGG
rnacentral:rRNA from 1 species